GACCUGCGGAGGGAUCAUUACCGAGUUUACAACUCCCAAACCCCUGUGAACAUACCUAUACGUUGCCUCGGCGGAUCAGCCCGCGCCCCGUAAAACGGGACGGCCCGCCCGAGGACCCCUAAACUCUGUUUUUAGUGGAACUUCUGAGUAAAACAAACAAAUAAAUCAAAACUUUCAACAACGGAUCUCUUGGUUCUGGCAUCGAUGAAGAACGCAGCAAAAUGCGAUAAGUAAUGUGAAUUGCAGAAUUCAGUGAAUCAUCGAAUCUUUGAACGCACAUUGCGCCCGCCAGUAUUCUGGCGGGCAUGCCUGUUCGAGCGUCAUUUCAACCCUCAAGCUCAGCUUGGUGUUGGGACUCGCGGUAACCCGCGUUCCCCAAAUCGAUUGGCGGUCACGUCGAGCUUCCAUAGCGUAGUAAUCAUACACCUCGUUACUGGUAAUCGUCGCGGCCACGCCGUAAAACCCCAACUUCUGAAUGUUGACCUCGGAUCAGGUAGGAAUACCCGCUGAACUUAAGCAUAUCAAUA
rnacentral:rRNA from 1 species